AAAUGAAAAGUUAUUUUAUUUUUUUAUAAUUAAAAGGAAAAAAAAAAAUAAUAUUUAUAUGACGCGAACAUAUAUCAUAAUAUAGGUAAAUCUUAUAUUAUCUGCCUUUAAAAAAAAACUGAAAAAACGCUACAUUUUAUUUUUUAAAUAAUUUUUUUUCUUUUCUUUUAUUAAUCCACAUAUACAUGCGUACAUACAUACAUACAUACAUACAUACACAAAAUCCACACUUAUAUUUACUGGCUGUUACGCUUACACAUUUACAUACAUAUUUAUAUACAUAUUUGUAUACAUAUUUAUAUACAUAUUUAUAUAUACAUUUGCAUGUUCAUACAUGCAUAUUUUCUUGUGAAGUAAUAAUACAAAAAAAAAAAAAAAAAAAAAAAGAAAAAAAAAAGAAGAAUGACAAAUAACAAAUCGUACAAAACAAACGGUCAUUUUAUAAUAGAUAACGAAAAUGUUAGUAACUUUGAUAAAGAUAAUAUAAAUAAGAAUGUGGUAAACAAUAUAAAACAAGAGGUGGAUGAUAAAAAUACAAACAAGCAAACUAAUAUUUACAAUACAAAUUUGAAUUUACAAAAUGAGAGCCUAACAGAUUGUGAUAGCAUUAAAAAAAUUAAUAAUAGUAAUAAUAAUUUAAACAUUAAUAUAGAUUAUAAUAGUAAUAAUAUAAAUAUAUACAAUGAUUUAUUAAUAAAUGAUAAUAAUAAAAAAAAAAAAAAAAAAAAAAAAAAAGCUAGUAGUUUUUAUGAUGAUGGUGAUAAUAAUUAUAUGCGUAAAGAACAUGUUAAUACGUGUGACCAUACUAACAGAAGCAUAAGCAUAAGUAGUAAUUAUAAUAGUAAUAAGUGUAAAGGAAACAUAAACAAAAAUGUUAUUUUAGAUAAUUAUGAGGAAGAAAAAAAUAGUAAUAUAUCAGAAUGUAAAAACGAAGAAUGUUAUUGCGAUGAUUUCCGUUAUUCAGAUUUUAGACCUAUGUACGAAUGUUAUAUUAAUAGUUUGGCAAAAAAUAACUACGUUAGUAGUGGUUAUGCUAGUAGUAGCUAUGAUAGCAGUUAUAAUAGCAACUGUCACAAUAGGCGUCCUAAUAGCAAUAGCCUUUGUAAUAGCAGUAAAGAAUGUACUUUGGGAGAUAAGCGUUUGGUUAAAUGUGAAUGUAUUGACAAACAAAAAUGCAUAAACAAUUUUAAAAAAAUAAAUUUAACAAACGAAACAAAACAAAUAGAUCUUAAUUGUAAUUGUAAUAAUAGUAUAAAAUGGGAUGAUAAAGAUGGUAAUGUAACUUUUGAAAAAUAUAAAAAUAAUGAAACAAAA
rnacentral:lncRNA from 1 species